UGCUGGGCUGGCUGGACUCGCUGGAACCGGGGGCCGGGUAACCCACACGGGCGAACCCCAUCGAUCACCCGGUCAGCGCAGGAACAUCCGCCCCAGGCUCGCGCCACACGAUCAACUCGACGGUCCCCGGCGGGGAGGGCCAUCCCAGCCGAGGACCUGACCAGCAAGGAAGUGGAGGCUUCCCU
rnacentral:ncRNA from 1 species